UACGUAGGGUGCAAGCGUUGUCCGGAAUUAUUGGGCGUAAAGAGCUCGUAGGCGGUGUGUCGCGUCUGCUGUGAAAACUCAGGGCUCAACUCUGAGCUUGCAGUGGGUACGGGCACACUUGAGUGCUGUAGGGGAGACUGGAAUUCCUGGUGUAGCGGUGAAAUGCGCAGAUAUCAGGAGGAACACCGGUGGCGAAGGCGGGUCUCUGGGCAGUUACUGACGCUGAGGAGCGAAAGCGUGGGGAGCAAACAGG
rnacentral:rRNA from 1 species